rnacentral:rRNA from 1 species
UACAGAGGGUGCGAGCGUUAAUCGGAAUUACUGGGCGUAAAGGGUGCGUAGGUGGUUGCGUAAGUUAGGUGUGAAAGUCCUGGGCUUAACCUGGGGAUUGCGCCUAAUACUGUGUGACUAGAGUUCUGUAGAGGAAAGUGGAAUUUCCGGUGUAGCGGUGAAAUGCGUAGAUAUCGGAAGGAACAUCGGUGGCGAAGGCGAUUUUCUGGACAGAGACUGACACUGAGGCACGAAAGCGUGGGGAGCAAACAGG